rnacentral:lncRNA from 1 species
CUAUGGCGCUUUUUUUUUUUUUAGGUAGAUGUUCCAUUUGCACAAGAUAACCUUCUGAUCUUUUAUCCUGUGAUUUUCAUUCUUCUCUCAAGAUUCCCUUCACAUUUUAUGCCCCCUCCCACACACACACUAUCUAGAAGAUCUUAGUGAUCUGAUUCCUCUGCUCAUCUUUUGAUCAGCUUGGUCUCCCCACUUCUGCAUUUGUUCCUUAAAAUUUGUUCUUCAUAGAUUAGCCAAUAUGAUUAUUUUAAAAUAUGUCAGAUCAUGCUGUUCACCAGCUGCCUAACUGAAUCCAAAAUCAUGGCCUGUGAGGCCUGACCUGACAUGGUUCUUGGCUGCCUUUCCCACCUCAUUUUCACUUUCUCUCCCUUCGCUUACUCAGUUCUGUCUCUUUGCAAUACUCAAAAUUACCAAGGCAAUUCCUAUCCCAGAGCCUUUGCUAUUGCUGCCUCAUAUCAUUAUCAUUUAGGCCUCUGCUCAUCUCUAAUCUCAGAAAACCUUUCAUGGAUACCCUAGCUCACAGUUUUACUUGUCUUUGUAGCUAGAUAGCACUAUCCAUCAUUAGGCCCAAUUAUAUGUUCACCGUUUUUUUCUUUCCUACAAGUAUAUAAGUUCCAUGAGAACAAAAGACUUUGAAUAUAUAUAUUCAAAUCCAG